rnacentral:rRNA from 1 species
UACGGAGGGUGCAAACGUUGCUCGGAAUCAUUGGGCGUAAAGCGCACGUAGGCGGCCCAGCAAGUCGGGUGUGAAAGCCCUCGGCUUAACCGAGGAAGUGCAUUCGAAACUACUGAGCUUGAAUACUGGAGAGGAUCGCGGAAUUCCCGGUGUAGAGGUGAAAUUCGUAGAUAUCGGGAGGAACACCAGUGGCGAAGGCGGCAUCCUGGACCAUUACUGACACUGAAACGCGAAAGCCAGGGGAGCAAACGGG